GGUAUUGCAUUGAUAGAAGAUAUUACUGAAGAUACUUUCAACAAGGACAAUCACAUGUUCCUUCUCUGUAGUCAUAAUUUAACGCUCUAUUAGAACUCGAGAACUAUCAUGCCUUCUAGAUUCCUUGCUUGAUUGCUUCCUGUGUAUUUUACAUUAUAGUUAGAUGGAGUGUUUUUAUUUAUUUAUUUUGGUUCUUAAAAUAAUAGAUAAGAAGAUGACAUGUGUUAUUUUGUAAGUUGGUUUGGAAUAUUAGUUUGAUAAUUGUUUAUUAUUUUAUGGGAUAGUAAAUAAACAUAAAGAAGAAUUAUUGCAAGGGUUUUACCUUGCAUAGAUCUCUCUUCUUAGUUGACUAGUUUAUUAUUAUGAAUUAAUUUGCACUUAAAAAGAUUUAAAAAAAAAAAUUAUGAUGUAAUUUUAUACAACUCAAUUUUUUUUUCAUUGUUUCAUAUUUAUAUACAAAUUUCUUGCAAAACCCUUGACUCUUUCAUACUUAAAUUUUAUGUUUUAGAUUUGAAUAAAUACAUGCAUUUUAACAAGAAAAAAACAUAAAAAUAUUAUAAGAAGUUAAAAAAAAAACUAAAACUAAAACUAAAUAUGACCUAUAUGGUACAUAAGACCAUUUCAACUCAACAUUGGUGUCUUCACUAAUAAAAAAAAAAAGAUCGAAAUAAAAGUAAAUAACAAAACUUUGGCCACUAUUCUACUAACAAAGGUGUUAAAGAUUUCUAAAAAUGCUAAUAGAUUGAGAAACCAUGAAACAACAUCUUGUUCACUGAGGGAGAACAUUGAGGGAAGCCACAAUAUGUAUACAUACAUUU
rnacentral:lncRNA from 1 species